rnacentral:rRNA from 1 species
GACGAACGCUGGCGGCGUGCCUAAUACAUGCAAGUCGAACGAGAGCGACCGGUGCUUGCACUGGUCAAUCUAGUGGCGCACGUGUGAGUAACACGUGGGUAACCUGCCCAUCAGAGGGGGAUAACAUCCGGAAACGGAUGCUAAAACCGCAUAGGUCUUCGAACCGCAUGGUUUGAAGAGGAAAAGAGGCGCAAGCUUCUGCUGAUGGAUGUACCCGCGGUGCAUUAGAUAGUUGGUGAGGUAACGGCUCACCAAGGCCGUGAUGCAUAGCCGACCUGAGAGGGUGAUCGGCCACAUUGGAACUGAGACAGGGCCAAAACUCCUACGGGAGGCAGCAGUAGGGAAUCUUCCGCAAUGGACGCAAGUCUGACGGAGCAACGCCGCGUGAGUGAAGAAGGUGUUCGGAUCGUAAAACUCUGUUGUUAGAGAAGAACAAGUGCUAGAGUAACUGUUAGCGCAUUGACGGUAUCUAACCAGAAAGCCACGGCUAACUACGUG